CUUAGGUCCAACAUUGCCAUUGAUUCCUCCUGCUAGAGCUUGCUUUCUGAAGGAUUUGCAAUACCGUUGUGACAAGGUUUGCCGGAUUGAUACAAGGCAAUAAGUGCAUAGGAUUUGUUUCCAUAUCUUUUUGAGCAGGAAAAGGUCCUUAAAGUUUAGAAAUUGUUGAUGUUAAGUUUUGCAGCUUAUGUAAACUUUUUUGUUCAAGUUGAGUGAUGCCAUUUACUUUAAUUAUUAGUUGAUAUCCCAAUGUAAGUUCCAUUGGUGGUUUUAUGAUUCUGCCAUUGUGAAAUUGCUUUUGUAGGCGAAUUGCAUGAUGUGUAAUUGCUACGAGCAACAUCUAUUAGGUCUUUAUCCCUUUCAGGUUUCCUUGGAUUGUAAAAAAUUGUGUAUCACAACAUGAGUUUGUGCAUAUUUCAAGAUAUCACUGUUUAUAAAUGGGUUUGUUUUUUU